rnacentral:rRNA from 1 species
AGGCAGCAGUGAGGAAUUUUGGGCAAUGGGCGAAAGCCUGACCCAGCAACGCCGCGUGAGGGAUGAAGUAUUUCGGUAUGUAAACCUCGAAAGAAUGGGAAGAAUAAAUGACGGUACCAUUUAUAAGCUCCGGCUAACUACGUGCCAGCAGCCGCGGUAAUACGUAGGGAGCAAGCGUUGUUCGGAUUUACUGGGCGUAAAGGGCGCGUAGGCGGCGCGGUAAGUCACUUGUGAAAUCUCUGAGCUUAACUCAGAACGGCCAAGUGAUACUGCUGUGCUAGAGUGCGGAAGAGGCAACCGGAAUUCUUGGUGUAGCGGUGAAAUGCGUAGAUAUCAAGAGGAACACCUGAGGCGAAGGCGGGUUGCUGGGCCGACACUGACGCUGAUGCGCGAAAGCCAGGGGAGCAAACAGGAUUAGAUACCCCGGUAG